UACGUAGGGGGCGAGCGUUGUCCGGAUUCAUUGGGCGUAAAGCGCGCGUAGGCGGCCCCGCAAGUCGGCCGUGAAAUCUCCGGGCUCAACUCGGAGGGGUCGGGCGAGACUGCGGAGCUCGAGGUGGGCAGAGGGCAGUGGAAUUCCGGGUGUAGUGGUGGAAUGCGUAGAGAUCCGGAGGAACACCAGUGGCGAAGGCGGCUGCCUGGGCCUGGCCUGACGCUGAGGCGCGAAAGCGUGGGGAGCGAUCCGG
rnacentral:rRNA from 1 species